AAAGAAAAUAACAAUGAUUCCCCUAGUAACGGCGAGCGAAGAGGGAAUAGCUCAAAUUUUAAAUCUGUUGGGUCUUACCUAACCGAGUUGUAAUUUGAAGAAGCGUUUUCUGCGUGUUUGAUUUAGCCCAAAUCCUUUGGGAUAGGGUAUCAUGGAGGGUGAGAAUCCCGUCCGGCCUAAUCAAAUGUGCUUUACGAUACGUUUUCUAAGAGUCGAGUUGUUUGGGAUUGCAGCUCAAAAUUGGAGGUAAAUUUCUCCUAAGGCUAAAUAUAGGCGAGAGACCGAUAGCGAACAAGUACCGUGAGGGAAAGAUGAAAAGAACUUUGAAAAGAGAGUUAAACAGUACGUGAAAUUGUUGAAAGGGAAACGAUUAAAGUCAGUCGUACUAACGGGGAAUCAACCUUUUGAGGGUGGAAUUGUGGGAUUCAGAGUGCCUUUGUCUUUCACAACCUGCUUUUUUGGGUGCACUUUCUCGUAUUGUAGGUCAGCAUCGGUUUCGACCGUUAUAAAAUGACUGGAGGAAUGUAGCUUCGAUCUCGUAUUGAAGUGUUAUAGCCUUUGGUAGAUGUAACGGAUGGGAUCGAGGAUUGCAAUGAAUACCCUCAUGGGCUAUCCGCCUGGCCUCUGACAUGUCACUCUGGUGCCGAAAGCUUGCUUAUGGUAUUAUAGUGUACGGUCAAAAGGUUAGAACGGAUUAAAUU
rnacentral:rRNA from 1 species